ensembl:lncRNA novel transcript
ACCCUUUGUGUCCAGGCACUACAUUAGGUUCUGAGCACAAAAUGAAGACAUAGAAUGGUCCUCAACAAGCUGCUGAUGCCCAUAAGAAAGAGGCCUGCAAACAUGUGUAAACAAGUGUGACAAGUUCACCGGCAAGGGGCAGCACAGGGUGGCACUGAACUCAGCCUCGGUAUUGCCCUGACCACAUGGCUGCAUGUGAGCAUGCCAGGUGAGGUGAGCAGGAGAGAUGUUCUAGGCAGCGUUGGAUGAUUCUCUGUCACAUUCCUUUGUGGUCAACUGAAUUGCUCUCUUCAACUGCAGCUUUCACUGAGGCCACUUGAGGUUGCACAACUCCUUCCAGACACAGCCAUCUCUGAAACUGGGAGCCCAGUCAGCCCCCAAGCAAGUACAACCUGCAAGUAUGGAGAGGUAACGCCCUAGGAGCCAUCUCUAACCAGUGAAGAAUGAGAGCCAGUAAGCAAGUCUAGCCACUCCUCUUUUGGAGGGAACAUUCUAGAAGGCAUUCUGCACACUUGCCAAAGGUCACAGAAGAAUUGAGCCCCUGUUGCCCAAAGCAGCAACCUUAAUGAUGCACACUCAGUGGCUUUUCAUUCUUCCCUGUCUCACUCUCUCCCUUUUCUUUCACCUCUGCUUUUUGGGAUCUCCUCCCAAAUAAACCACCUGCACCAAG